rnacentral:lncRNA from 1 species
GGGGUCUAGCAUUGAGGGUGCAUCUUUCUUUAGUAACCAAGGGAUUAUUCACCAAACAACCUGUCCUCUUACUCCUCAACAAAAUGGUGUUGUUGAAAGGAAACAUAAGACUCUUCUUGAGGCAUGUAGAGCUUUACUUUUUCAAUCUGGCUUACCCAUCUCUUUCUGGGGGGACUGCUUAUUAACUGUCACCUAUCUCCUUAACAGAAUACCAUCCAGACUUCUUCAUGAUAAAUCUCCCUUUGAAGUUUUACAUGGAAAGGCACCAACCUACUCUCAUUUGAGAGCAUCUUGGUGCCUUGCCUAUGCUACUGUUCCAAUUCCUCAAAGGGACAAAUUGAAACCUAUCCUAUGAAGUUUUGCAUGGAAAGGCACCAACCUACUCUCAUUUGAGAGCAUUUGGGUGCCUUGUCUAUGCUACUGUUCCAAUUCCUCAAAGGGAAAAGUUGAAACCUAGAGCCAUUUCCUGUGUCUUCAUUGGGUAUCCU